rnacentral:tRNA from 1 species
GCCUGGGUGGCACAGUGGUUGAGCGUCUGCCUUUGGCUCAGGGCGUGAUCCUGGCGUUGUGGGAUCGAGCCCCACAUCAGGCU